UGUAAAAAACACGACCAAUCGGAAAGUUCAGAGUGAAGAGAGUGAUUGGAUGAACCGGCUUUCUCCUGCCUGUUCGCACUCCGCUCGUUCACCACACAGUCGGGCGCAUGACCAGUCUCCUGCACGGCGUCGGCAAACAAGCUCUGGCAGCUCCCUUCGGCAGCUCGCUCUGGCAGCCGGCAGCUUGCUCAGACUACAGGAGGAGUGAACAGAGUAAACAUCGUGUGGCUCUUCACCACUGGUGAGAAAAGGGUGAAAGGUACAGCAAGUUGUACAUGAAGAAGUCCAGGACCUGGAGGUUGUCUGCCAUGGACCAGAGCACUGAGACCAGACGAUCCCCGUCAAUAGCUAGAGAAGCAGGUCAGCAGAGGACCAGGGCCACUUCCUAAAGAGUCGACGACACCACAGCCUGACCCGUCAGCCCAGCUUUGACAUUAGAGCUAAGACACCCUUUGCAGACAGUUUCUUCAUUGUUGUACAUAUGUUAUAAUAUAUAUUUGGUAUAUUGUAUGAUGUUCCAAAAAAAUAAACAGGUGUCACGACACAUUGUGUGAGAGUAUAAGGA